ensembl:lncRNA
GUUGCUAAGCAGACGUAGAUGAUUCCUCGCAGAAUCGCACAUACCUGCAAGCUCUGCUUCCUACAGCUACUAGAAAAUGACUCAUGCAAAAUCCCUUACUUCCCACCCAUCCUGCCACCAUCAGAGAAACACUGGAUGCAUCUCCAUUUUUAAAUUCCGUAAAAAGACAGGCGAGGAACACAUCUAGGAAUUAGUUAACCGGUUUGGAUAUGGUCCAGACAUUUGAAUUUUCCUGCUACUUGCUCCUGGGUGAUGUAUGCAAAAGAAGAAAGCAAAGGGAGAUGACAUUCAAAUCUCAGUGUAUUUUAUCUGGACAGUCUUGCCAGGGCAUUUUAUAUAAUAUUCAAGAACAGAUAAUUUGUACAUCCCACAUAUUUUUCCACAAGAUAGAAAAAUAAAGAGGAGCUCUUCCUGUUCUGCAUCAUGGCACAGGAUCAAG